rnacentral:rRNA from 1 species
AUUGAACGCUGGCGGCAUGCCUUACACAUGCAAGUCGAACGGCAGCACGGGAGCAAUCCUGGUGGCGAGUGGCGAACGGGUGAGUAAUAUAUCGGAACGUGCCCGGUCGUGGGGGAUAACGUAGCGAAAGCUACGCUAAUACCGCAUACGAUCUACGGAUGAAAGCGGGGGAUCGCAAGACCUCGCGCGAUUGGAGCGGCCGAUAUCAGAUUAGGUAGUUGGUGAGGUAAAGGCUCACCAAGCCGACGAUCUGUAGCUGGUCUGAGAGGACGACCAGCCACACUGGGACUGAGACACGGCCCAGACUCCUACGGGAGGCAGCAGUGGGGAAUUUUGGACAAUGGGCGCAAGCCUGAUCCAGCAAUGCCGCGUGCAGGAUGAAGGCCUUCGGGUUGUAAACUAGCUUUGUUACGGUAACGAAACCGGUAGGAGACGUCUAAUACAGUUGCUAAUGACGGUACCGUAAGAAUAAGACA